GCUCGGACCAUUGCCUCCGAGACCAGGGUUGGGAUCUGCACCUUCAACUCGGAGACCUCGGCCUCUACUUUCUUUCUCUCCUCCUCUAAGGUGGCCCUCAAGUCUGCCGAGGUCUGCCCCUCCUUCUGCAAUGCCUCUUGAAGACUCGCAACCUCGACAAUCUUCUCCUCGAGGCAGAUGGCCUCGGCCAGACGACCUUCCUCUGCCUGGACGGCCUCCUUCUUAACAUUGCUCAUCGCCUCGAUGUUGGUGAUGAGCUGGUGUCCAAUCUGCAAGAGCGGCCAGGGAGUCAAUAUAAAAGCCGAGGAAUAAGCAAAGUAAAGAGACAAGAAGGAGUAAAUUGACCUACCUCGAUGAAGGACCCCAGAGAGUUCCAGACCCGCUGCUCAGGAUCGGCGUGGACGAUCCUGUGGACAACCUCGGGCAGGAUGCACCCGUUGACCAAUCUCUUUAUUAGAUCCCUAUUGUUGAAGGGAUUCUCCCUCAGAUUUUCUUCGGAGCCAUUGGCCCCCUCAAUGGCAGCCCUACUGCUGCGGCUCUUGCAGGCCAAUAUCUUCUUUCUCUUUCUCCGUUUGAUCCCUGGUGCCUCCUCGGGCCGGGCCUC
rnacentral:lncRNA from 1 species